rnacentral:rRNA from 1 species
UACGUAGGGUGCGAGCGUUAAUCGGAAUUACUGGGCGUAAAGCGUGCGCAGGCGGUUUUGUAAGUCUGUCGUGAAAUCCCCGGGCUCAACCUGGGAAUUGCGAUGGAGACUGCAAGGCUAGAAUCUGGCAGAGGGGGGUAGAAUUCCACGUGUAGCAGUGAAAUGCGUAGAGAUGUGGAGGAACACCGAUGGCGAAGGCAGCCCCCUGGGUCAAGACUGACGCUCAUGCACGAAAGCCAGGGGAGCAAACGGG